rnacentral:rRNA from 1 species
UACAGAGGGUGCGAGCGUUAAUCGGAAUUACUGGGCGUAAAGCGUGCGUAGACGGUAGCGUAAGUCAGAUGUGAAAGCCCCGGGCUCAACCUGGGAACUGCAUUUGAGACUGCUCUGCUCGGGUGCGGAAGAGGGAAGCGGAAUUUCCGGUGUAGCGGUGAAAUGCGUAGAUAUCGGAAGGAACACCAGUGGCGAAAGCGGCUUCCUGGUCCGACACCGACGUUCAGGCACGAAAGCGUGGGGAGCAAACAGGG